GACGAACGCUGGCGGCGUGCUUAACACAUGCAAGUCGAACGGACAGGCCCUGCUCUUGUGGGGUGCUCGAGUGGCGAACGGGUGAGUAACACGUGAGUAUCCUGCCCUUGACUUUGUGAUAACUUCAGGAAACUGGGGCUAAUAUCGGGUAGGAGCUCUUGCUGCAUGGUGGGGGAUGGAAAGUUUCGGCGGUUGGGGCUGGACUAGCGGCAUAUCAGCUUCUUGGUGGGGUAGUGGCUUACCAAGGCUUUGACGGGUAGCCGGCCUGAGAGGGUUACCGGCCACAAUGGGACUGAGGGACGGCCCAGACUGCUACGGGAGGCAGCAGGGGAGAGUAUUACACAGUAGGCGGAAGCCUGAGGCAGCAGCGCCGCGAGCGGGAAGACGGCCUUCGGGGGGUAAACCGAUUUCGCCGGAGACGAGGCGGGAGUGACGGUAAUGGGUAAAGAAGCACCGGCUAACUACGUG
rnacentral:rRNA from 1 species